rnacentral:rRNA from 1 species
GCCCUUACUGCAGUGCCAGCAGCCGCGGUAAUACGGAAGGUGCAAGCGUUAAUCGGAAUUACUGGGCGUAAAGCGCGCGUAGGUGGUUUGUUAAGUUGGAUGUGAAAGCCCUGGGCUCAACCUAGGAACUGCAUCCAAAACUAACUCACUAGAGUACGAUAGAGGGAGGUAGAAUUCAUAGUGUAGCGGUGGAAUGCGUAGAUAUUAUGAAGAAUACCAGUGGCGAAGGCGGCCUCCUGGAUCUGUACUGACACUGAGGUGCGAAAGCGUGGGAAGCGAACAGGAUUAGAUACCCUGGUAGUCCACGCCGUAAACGAUGACAACUAGCUGUUGGGAGACAAUGUCUUUCAGUGGCCCAGCUAACGUUUUAAGUUGUCCGCCUGGGGAGUACGGCCGCAAGGCUAAAACUCAAAUGAAUUGACGGGGACCCGCACAAGCGGUGGAGCAUGUGGUUUAAUUCGAUGCAACGCGAAAAACCUUACCUACUCUUGACAUACUUGGAAGCUCUUGUAAUGAGAGUGUGCCUUUUGGAGCCAAGAUACAGGUGCUGCAUGGCUGUCGUCAGCUCGUGUCGUGAGAUGUUCCGUUAAGUCGGAUAACGAGCGCAACCCUUACCCUUAUUUGCCAGCGAUUCGGUCGGGAACUAUAGGGACUGCCGGUGAUAAACCGGAAGGAAGUGAAGACGACGUCAAGUCAUCAUGGCCCUUACGAGUAGGGCUAACCACGUGCUACAAUGGGGAAUACAGACGGACGCUAAGCCGCGAGGUGGUGCUAAUCCUAAAAGGUCUUCGUAGUCCGGAUUGAGUCUGCCACUCGACUCCAUGAAGUCGAAUCGCUAGUAUCGGCGAAUCAGCAUGUCCCGGUGAAUACGUUCUCGGUCUGACGACGGCCCGUCACCAUGAAGGAUGCACAAAGUAUGUCUACUUCGGAGGCGUUACACGGGUGGCUCUAGAUGGGUGAGUCUUACAGGUACGGGGGCCCUCGACAGGGAUUCGAUAUCUCACAUGGGGGCGCUCGAAUGAUUAAGGCACUUCCUAAGGAGCUACAUCCUGGGCGCUUAAACCCCGGAGGAAACCGGUACCCAUUAUCCGUGAACUUCUCCUCAGUAAAAAGGCCGAGCUCUAUAGACUUGAAG